rnacentral:rRNA from 1 species
UACGGAGGAUGCAAGCGUUAUCCGGAAUUAUUGGGCGUAAAGCGUCCGUAGGUGGCUGUGCAAGUCAGUUGUUAAAGCGCGGGGCUUAACUCCGUAACGGCAAUUGAAACUGCAUCGCUAGAGUGCGAUAGGGGCAAGGGGAAUUCCCAGUGUAGCGGUGAAAUGCGUAGAUAUUGGGAAGAACACCGGUGGCGAAAGCGCCUUGCUGGGUCUGCACUGACACUGAGGGACGAAAGCUAGGGGAGCGAACAGG